GGUAAGUGGCCAUCUUUUCCUUUUCCAGAACCCAACUUCUCCUCUGAGAGUCUUAGAAACCAGAGGAGAUUGAAACACAGAAACGGAUGUUCCGAGCGUCCCCAACCCAAACCAGUUCCCGGCCACCAGAGCUUAGACUCUCUGCGCCUCGACGUCGACUCCUCGCUCCUCUGAGCCGUGCGGAAGUUGCUGAUGGAAAGGGCCUUGGGCCCUUGGCAGGAACGGUGGAUUUCAGGAUUUCUGUGAAGGUCCGGACCUUGGACCCAUGGCUCCCCGUCGCCUGAUUGUCCACCCAGAGAUGGCCUCCUGACCGUUCAUGGAUGCCCGAAGACCUGCAGCUCGGGGUCCAGUUCCAGAACAGGGUGGGGGCCAGAGAGAAUGCGGACACCGCUUUCGGGAAACCUUUUCUCUCUCAAUAAAGACCUUAUGCAACGCAGG